rnacentral:lncRNA from 1 species
ACGGGAUAUCACAUAGAAACGUAAUCCAAAAACAGUUAAAUAAUAAUUUAACUUCCACAUAAUAUCUUAACAUAGCAGCGGAGUAUUAGUUCAGAAAUCAUAAAUCAGUUUGGCACGCAGGCCCCAACAAGUAUCUCAAAAGAGUUUAUCAAGCAUAAAUUAUCAUGGCAGUUCACGUAAAAGAAUGAAGCAUGUUAUAGCAUUAACCCCAUCCCGUUACGUAUCAGAGCGACCUAGACGACACAGUGAGGCAAGGCUACUCACAGAAGCAACUGCACACUAAGCACGAUCACCUGCAAGUUACCCAUACGAAGGGCAACAUUUUCAAGCAGAAGGGGUGAGAUUUCAUAAUAAAAUAACAUUAAUCAAUGUAAUUGCGAAUCAUAAAUUAACAUCAUAAUCAUUCCAUUAUUAACUUUGCAUAAAUGCUAAACAGUUGUCACGUAAUCAUAUAUCCAAUCAUUAUAAACAUCAUAACAUAAUCAAUGAACACUUAUCACGUAAUCACAUAUCCACUCAUCAUCAACAAGGCAUCUUAAUCAUGACAAUGUGACAAUGCUCCUAGACUCCUUAUAUGCAUGUGGUACCAAUCGUCAUCAUAAGUAUUAAUAUACUUUAAUCGUGCGGAGGACAAAGCUCCUAUAAAACGUGCGGAGGACAAAGCUCCUAAUUUUCGUGGUGAGGACAAAGCUCAAUGAUAUGCUAUGCAUGGACACAUAUGAACAAAACAACGUAAUCGACUUAUCAACAUGCAUCCAAUAAUUUGGAGCUAAACUUCAUCAUAUACUUAUGCACUUAGUUAAACAACGGAAGCAGCAUAAACAAGUCACAUAUCAAGAUGAUAUCAUUAUAUCAAUAGCACAUAAAUUGCAUUAUUAUCAACCUUCAUAUCUUGCAUGAUUAUACAAUACAUUAGUUCAUGUUCAAUUAAUAUCAAUAUAACUUAACAACUCUACCGACUGCAUUAAACUUCAUCAAUAGGUCUCAAUACCAAUUAGGGGUUCACUCUUGAUCAACAAGUGCGACACAGAUCGCACAAACACAUAAUCAAGUUCAUCCUGGUUGUACUCGCGAGGCGAGAGCUCUUACUCGCCAUGGCGAGUACCACUCAACUCCCAAACUAAGGUCGUUUUGGGUUCCCUCUGAUCCUACAUUCAUUCCUAAUCAAUACUAGGUAUGUUCAGGUACUCAAGGAUAUACAAGGUUCAACUAAAAAGGUCGAAACACGAAACAUGACAUGCUCUCUGCUUGAGCUCGCGAGGCGAGGAAAGGUUGCUCGCCAUGGCGAGCUGGACCAAACAACUCGCGAGGCGAAGGAAAGGGGCUCGCGUGGCGAGCGAUGAAGUUCAUCACUCGCGAGGCGAGGAUCAUCACUCGCCGUGGCGAGCGAUGAACAGAAGCACGGGCAGACUAGGGUUUUUCUCAAAAAUCCAUCACACAACAUGGUUCAAAGCCUAAUUUUGAUUCCAUAAUCCAUCCUAAACAUGUUCUAAGGUUAAAGGACGGUUUCUACAUCAAUCUAAACAAGUUUUACCGUUUGAUCAUCAAUUUUUAGGGUUUUAACCUAAUUCCAAAACUUCUCUAAAUCAAUCCUAACUUUGUCAACUAAUCAUCAGAAUUACAGUAAUUAACAUUAUUGAAUUAUUAGUCUCACCCUUACCUUGAAUGAAGAAAAUCGCAGCACUCUACCUUGAUUCCUCUAGACUUGGCUUUUCUCCCUUCUUCCAAAAGUUUUCACGUACAAUGAGUUUCUAAAAUAUUAGGUCUUCUCC